rnacentral:rRNA from 1 species
GAUGAACGCUGGCGGCGUGCCUAAUACAUGCAAGUCGAGCGAACAGACAAUGAGCUUGCUCCUCUAACGUUAGCGGCUGACGGGUGAGUAACACGUGGAUCACCUACCUAUAUUUCUUGGAUAACUUCGUAAAACCGCAUCUAAUACCGGAUCAUAUAUUGUACCGCAUGAAUCAAUAGUGAAUGACAGCUUUCCUGUCACUUCUAGCUGGUUCCGCGCCGCAUUAUCUAGUUGGUAAGGUAACGGCUUACCAAGGCAACGAUGCGUAUCCGACCUGCGAGGGUGAUCGGCCACACUGGAACUGAGACACGGUCCAGACUCCUACGGGAGGCAGCAGUAGGGAAUCUUCGACAAUGGGCGCAAGCCUGACGCAGCAAUGCCGCGUGAGUGAUGAAGGUCUUCGGAUCGUAAAACUCUGUUAUUAGGGAAGAAAAGCUGUGGAAGUAUAUAUGGCCGUUUUGACGGUACCCAAUCAGAAAGCAACGGCUAACUACGUG